rnacentral:rRNA from 1 species
AGAACGAACGCUGGCGGCAUGCCUAAUACAUGCAAGUCGAACGAACACUUCGGUGUUAGUGGCGCACGGGUGCGUAACGCGUGGGAAUCUGCCCUUGGGUUCGGAAUAACAGUUGGAAACGACUGCUAAUACCGGAUGAUAUCGAAAGAUCAAAGAUUUAUCGCCCAGGGAUGAGCCCGCGUAGGAUUAGCUAGUUGGUGAGGUAAAGGCUCACCAAGGCGACGAUCCUUAGCUGGUCUGAGAGGAUGAUCAGCCACACUGGGACUGAGACCACGGCCCAGACCUCCUACGGGAGGCAGCAGGUAGGGAAUAGUUGGACAAGUGGGCGCGAAGCCUGAUACCAGACAAAUGCCGCGUAGAGUGAUGAAGGUACUUAGGGUUAGUAAAGUCUACGUUUACCCGAGAUGA